UAGAACUAGGAGGGGAGAGACGGGGAAUUCCUUUGUUAGUAUGACCUACUUAAAUUUAUUUUGUAUUUAAAGUGGUUGGUCAGAGUUUAGAGAUAUUAUGUUACAUGUCAAUUAACCUUUGUUUUGUGGCAGUAUCUGAAAAUGACAUCCGAAAAUGUUGAGAAUAGCAAUGGAGCACAAGAGACCGUUGAGUCUCCAUAUAUCAAUAAUCAGGAGAAUGUGCAUCAGGAAGGCGACAAUCCUCAUGCAAACAACAACACUGACCAAAUGAUGAAUGAUGGAUUAUUCAGAGGCUUUAUGCAAUUCAUGCAUCAGCAGGCGAGAGCGGC
rnacentral:lncRNA from 1 species